UUGUCAUGAUGAUUCCAAGUAUGGUUUCGCAUUUUAUCAUCCUGUACAUUUCAUUGUUGAUGAUACUCCUUGGCUGUCUGAACAA
rnacentral:snoRNA from 1 species